GGCCGGGGUAGGGGUAGCCAGUUGGAGAGCAUGGCCAGCCGUAGAAAAAUGCUUAUUGAAAUGAUUGAUUAUCAUAGAUUUAUCAGUGGUGACAGUGUUUCCUAUCCUCAGUGCAGUGGGCAGCUGGAAGUUGCUCUUAUUCUCCAUGGAUUUUAGUGUCCCAAAACUUUUUGGAAUUAGUGCUACAGGAUGCAAAUUUCUGUUGAAAAAGCUAGCCUUAGCUUUCCUAACUGACAGAGUAUAUUGGUUCCUGACUUCCCUGAAAAGGUGCAUAUCGCUGGGGCUAUUCGAUGCUAAUGCACAACGCCACAGGAUGUUAGUCAAGGGCAGUCAAGUCUUAGGUGAACCAAGGGCUAUAUCUGUUCUUAGUUCUACAUUUUUUGAAUGGGGCAUGCUUAUUUAAGAUGGUGAGGAAAGCACUUUUAAAGAGCAACCAGGCAUCUUCUACUGCCGGAAUGAGGUCAAUAUCCUUCCAGGACAGCCGGGUCAGGUUGAUUAGAAAGGUCUGCUCGCUGAAGUGUUUUAGGGAGCGUUUGACAUGAGGGGUGGUCGUUUGACCGCGAACCCAUUACGCACACAGGCAAUGAGGCAGUGAUCGCUGAGAUCCUAGUUGAAGACAGCAGAGGUGUAUUUAGAGGGCAAGAUGACGAUAAAAGCCUCAUACAUUAGUAAUAGUAAAAUGGUGACCUCUCCUUGACAUCUAUUCUAGAAUCUGGCGGAAGUGGAUCCAGCUGAACAUGGAACUGACUGAGGUGCGUAGGCAGGCGGACCAGUCCUUCAUCUCCCUCCUGCAGGCAGUGAGAGUGGGCAGAGUCACAGAGGAGGUCACUGCCAUGUUGAUGGAGAGCGCCUAUCACAAGAUCGAGCUGGACGGUAUCCUGGUAACCAGGCUGUGCACUCACAAGGUCGAUGUGGAGAUGACUAAUGACAAGAAGCUCCAGCAGCUGUCAGGUCAUGCUCACAAAGAACCCGGACUUCCAAAGGGGCCUGGUCAACGGGGCUCGAGCAGGGCAAGACGCUGGACUGUGUGGAGAUCUCCGUGGCGAGGGUCUUCGAGAGAGGCCAGGCCUACCUGGUUCUGUCUCAAGCCAGGAGUCUGGAGGACCUAAGGGUCAUGGACUUUAAUCCCCGUGUGGUCCGAGCCGACCCCGAUGUGCUGUUCUUCUACGGGAAGUGGAGGAAAGAGUGAGUACUGCUACAGAAGCCGCCUCCAACGUAAUUUUAGAGAAUUUGGCAGUACAUCCAACCUGCUUCACAACCGCAGACCACGUGUAACCAUGCUAGCCCAGGACCUCCACAUCUGGCUUCUUCACCUGCGGGAUCGUCUGAGACCAGACAGCUGAUGAAACUGAGAAGUCUUUUUGUCUGUAAUAAAGCCCUUUUGUGGAGGAAAACUAAUUCUGAUUGACUGGGCCUGGCUACCCAGUGGAUGGGCCUAUGCCACCCAUGGCUGCGCCCCUGCCCAGUCAUGUGAAAUCCAUAAAUUAGGGCCUAAUGAAUUUAUUUCAAUUGACUGAUUUCCAUAUGAACUGUAACUCAGUAAAAUUGUUGCAUGUUGCGUUUAUAUAUUUGUUCAAUAUACAAACCUUUGAAGCAAUGGGGAGUGUCCAAGUAGUUUCUCACAUCUUCCUUUGUGUAUUUUUUUGUCUUUGCACCUCAUACAAAGUCUGAGGUGACCUUUACUGUUAUCCUACUGUGUACUGCCACCCUGUGUUAGAAAAGGUUCAUUGAUGUCCAUAAAUCCAGCCUAGUUUAAUCACCCCGUUGAGGGUUGGUCAGGUCCGGCAUUAAUGAUGUGUGUCGUGUCCAAUCUUCCACUACUCUGUGUCCAAAGCAAAAGGCUCAGAUCUCUUUCUCUCUGCAGGCCUCGGUGGAUAAGUUUGUGGGCAGAAAUAACUAUGAGAACUAUUGGACAAUGACCCAUAACACACUUUCAGUGUGUGUAAGUGCCAUUUGACAUGGUUUGGAAUGAGUUGGACCGCAGAGUGAAGGAAAAGCAGCCAGCAAGUGCUCAGCAUAUGUGGGAACUCAAGAAGCUGGUGGAGAGAAUGCCAAGAGCAUGCAAAGCUGUCAUCAAGGCAAAGGAGAAUAAAAUAUAUAUUGAUUUGUUUAACACUUUGUUUACUACAUGUUAUUUCAUAGUUGAUGUCUUCAGUACUAUUCUACAAUGUAGAAAAUAUAUAUUUUUAAAUAAAUCAGAACCUUGGAAUGAAUAGGUGUGUCCAAACUUUUAA